AGAGUUUGAUCAUGGCUCAGAACGAACGCUGGCGGCAGGCUUAACACAUGCGAGUCGAACGCGAAACCGCCCUUCGGGGCGGGAGUAGAGUGGCAAACGGGUGAGUAACGCGUGGGAACCUACCCAGUGGUACGGAAUAACUUCGGGAAACCGGAGCUAAUACCGUAUACGCCCUUCGGGGGAAAGAUUUAUCGCCAUUGGAGGGGCCCGCGUCGGAUUAGCUUGUUGGUGGGGUAACGGCCUACCAAGGCGACGAUCCGUAGCUGGUCUGGGAGGAUGAUCAGCCACACUGGGACUGAGACACGGCCCAGACUCCUACGGGAGGCAGCAGUGGGGAAUAUUGGACAAUGGGCGAAAGCCUGAUCCAGCCAUGCCGCGUGAGUGAAGAAGGCCUUAGGGUUGUAAAGCUCUUUCAGCGGGGAAGAUAAUGACGGUACCCGCAGA
rnacentral:rRNA from 1 species